rnacentral:rRNA from 1 species
GUUGAACGCUGGCGGCAGGCCUAACACAUGCAAGUCGAGCGGAGCGGCUGACGGGUGCGUAAUGCCUAGGAAUCUGCCUGGUAGUGGGGGAUCACGUCCGUACACGGGCGAUAAUACCGCCUACUUUCAGAUGAGCCUAGGUCGGAUGAGCUAGGUGGUGGGGUAAAGGACUACAAAGGCGACGAUCCGUCACUGGUCUGAGAGGAGGAUCAGUCACAAUGGAACGGAGACACGGUCCAGACUACUCCGGGAGGCAGCAGUGGGGAAUAUUGGACAAUGGGCGAAAGCCUGAUCCAGCCAUGCCGCGUGUGUGAAGAUGGGCUUCGGAGUGUAAAGCACUGGUAGUUGGGAGGCGUUAACAAAAGAAUAAGCACCGGCUAACUGCGUGCCAGCAGCCGCGGUAAUAC